rnacentral:misc_RNA from 1 species
GAAGGCACGACAUUGCUCACAUUGCUUCCAGUGUAUUGGGGCCAGCAAACUGUUACUAAGACAGCUUUGAUUUU